UUUCUGGUGGUUCAGUGCUUAGGACUUUGCAGUUUGACUGCUGGGGCCCAGGUUCAAUCCCUGGUCAGGGAA
rnacentral:tRNA from 1 species